UACGGAGGGUGCGAGCGUUGUCCGGAAUCACUGGGCGUAAAGCGUCUGUAGGUGGUUCGAAAAGUCCACUGUUAAAAAUUGAGGCUUAACUUCAAAGAUGCCGUGGAAACUUUCAAACUAGAGUAUGGUAGGGGUAGAGGGAAUUUCCAGUGGAGCGGUGAAAUGCGUAGAUAUUGGAAAGACCACCGAUGGCGAAGGCACUCUACUGGGCCACUACUGACACUGAGAGACGAAAGCUAGGGGAGCAAAUGGG
rnacentral:rRNA from 1 species